UCCUUCGUGAGGAGGAAUCUGAAGGAAGCCGAUGACGAAACAAGGUGGUGACGAACAGAAACCAAAUAUAAGGCUGGAACGACAGGGUAAUACAGCUUUGGAUGUAGAAGCCCAUGAAACUUCUCGCGAGUUGUUCCAGUAGAUUUGGCAUGACCUUGUGAAAGAGAUGCAU
rfam:Gammaproteobacteria bacterium GWF2_41_13 gwf2_scaffold_2131, whole genome shotgun sequence.